rnacentral:rRNA from 1 species
ACAGAGGUCCCGAGCGUUGUUCGGAUUCACUGGGCGUAAAGGGUGCGUAGGUGGUGGGGUAAGUCGGAUGUGAAAUCUCGGAGCUCAACUCCGAAAUGGCAUUGGAAACUACCCUGCUGGAGGUUUGGAGGGGGGACUGGAAUACUUGGUGUAGCAGUGAAAUGCGUAGAUAUCAAGUGGAACACCAGUGGCGAAGGCGAGUCCCUGGACAAAACCUGACACUGAGGCACGAAAGCUAGGGGAGCAAACAGGA